AAGUCGUAACAAGGUUUCCGUAGGUGAACCUGCGGAAGGAUCAUUAACGAGCAAGGGGCGAAAGCCCCGAACCUCCAACCCUCUGUCGUUAUAACUACCAACGUUGCUUUGGCGGGACCGCGAGGGUCCUCCCGAGCGCGCCAGUCUCCGGACAGGCGAGCGCCCGCCAGAGUCCAACCAAACUCUUGUUUUCAAACCAGCCGUCUGAGUACAAAUUUUUAAUAUAAUUAAAACUUUCAACAACGGAUCUCUUGGUUCUC
rnacentral:misc_RNA from 1 species